GCACACUCUCCACCUAUGCCCAGGACUACCUUUAGAAGAUGGGUUCACUUUAUGAAUACCUUUGUGAAGUCCCCAAAAGAGAGCAAGCUUUUGGGAAUGUUGGGAAGAGCACAACACAUGCGUGUCAAGUUCCAGCUCACCACAUUUGCAAUUUGGCAUCCAGGAACCCACAGAAUUUGACUGUAUGAUUUAAACAGAUUAACAUUUAAAACAAAGAUUAACCAGGAGUUUAAACUGCACCUGUUUUAAAUAAGGAAAACACUCGUUCAACUUGCAGAGGAUGGAAACAGGAUUCCAGUGGCAAUGAUGACCAGCUGAUGACGCUGCGUCUCACACCCUGUGAUCCAUUGGAGAACACAAGCAACCCAGAGUAGGUGAGGACCACACAGGUGGAAGAGACAAGAACAUGCUGGUGGAGCCCAUGAGUAAUACAGAAGGGCAGGUGGAGCAGAUCAGCACUAUGGAGGAG